AGUGAACGCUGGCGGCAGGCCUAACACAUGCAAGUCGAGCGGUAAGGCCCUUUCGGGGGUACACGAGCGGCGAACGGGUGAGUAACACGUGGGUGACCUGCCCUCAGCUCUGGGAUAAGCCUGGGAAACCGGGUCUAAUACUGGAUAUGACUCCAUGACGCAUGUUGUGGGGUGGAAAGCCUUGUGCGGCUGAGGAUGGGCCCGCGGCCUAUCAGCUUGUUGGUGGGGNGAUGGCCUACCAAGGCGACGACGGGUAGCCGGCCUGAGAGGGCGACCGGCCACACUGGGACUGAGACACGGCCCAGACUCCUACGGGAGGCAGCAGUGGGGAAUCUUGCGCAAUGGGCGAAAGCCUGACGCAGCGACGCCGCGUGAGGGAUGACGGCCU
rnacentral:rRNA from 1 species